UGUUUUACAGCUGAAGGAAAUGAGGCUCAGGAGGUUACACAGCCUGUCCAAGACCAUGUGGCUGUGCAAAGAGCCAUGUUUGAGGCCGAUCUGCUUGACCCCAACACCUCCACCAGUGACAGUGACACCUCACCCUUCCCACAUCUGCACAUCUGACAUCCAGCAGGGUCUCCCAGGCCACUUCACAAGUCAGCUUCAGAACAAGUGAGUUUGCUGCGAGAGCACAAAUGUCAUGAGAACCAUCACUAAAUCAAAGCCAACCUGGGAUAGGAAAAGACGUCAGCAUCGUGGUCAUCAGAUGUGUGGAUUCAGGCAAGUUCCGC
rnacentral:lncRNA from 1 species